UAGAAGGCUAGAUCAGCAGGGAUUGGUUCCCUGUUUAAGCAGGUAGGGGGAGUCGCCAGGCAAAUCCGGCGGCUCGUUAUCCCCGAGAUGUGAUGACGAGGUCCUACGUGGGCCGAAGUGAUUGACGCCCCGCUUCCAGGAAAAGCCUCUAAGCUUCAGGUCACAUUGGACCGUACCGAAAACCGACACUGGUGGGCGGGCAGAUAAUCUGCCAAGGCGCUUGAGAGAACUCGGGUUAAGGAACUCUGCAAAUUGAUACCGUAACUUCGGAAGAAGGUAUGCCUCCGACGGUGUAGGGAUUUACUCCCGAAGCCGUUGAAGGUCGCAGGUAAUCGGUGGCUGCGACUGUUUAUCAAAAACACAGGACUCUGCGAACACGCAAGUGGAUGUAUAGGGUCUGACGCCUGCCCGGUGCCGGAAGGUUAAGUGAUGGGGUUAGCCGCAAGGCGAAGCUCUUGAUCGAAGCCCCGGUAAACGGCGGCCGUAACGAUAACGGUCCUAAGGUAGCGAAAUUCCUUGUCGGGUAAGUUCCGACCUGCACGAAUGGCGUAACGCUGGCCACACUGUCUUGACCCGAGACUCAGUGAAGUUGAAAUCGCUGUGAAGAUGCGGCGUUCCCGCGGCAAGACGGAAAGACCCCGUGAACCUCCACUACAGCUUUACACUGAACUUUGAACCUUCCUGUGUAGGAUAGGUGGGAGGCUUUGAAGCCUGGGCGCUAGCUCGGGUGGAGCCAACCUUGAAAUACCACCCUGGGAUGUUCGGAGUUCUAACCUUGGCCCGUAAUCCGGGUUGGGGACAGUGUAUGGUGGGUAGUUUGACUGGGGCGGUCUCCUCCCAAAGAGUAACGGAGGAGUGCAAAGGUACGCUCAGCGCGGUCGGUCAUCGCGCUCUAGAGUGCAAAGGCAUAAGCGUGCUUAACUGCGAGACGGACAUGUCGAGCAGGUACGAAAGUAGGUCUUAGUGAUCCGGUGGUUCUGUAUGGAAGGGCCAUCGCUCAACGGAUAAAAGGUACUCCGGGGAUAACAGGCUUAUUCCUCCCAAGAGUCCACAUCGACGGAGGAGUUUGGCACCUCGAUGUCGGCUCAUCACAUCCUGGGGCUGUAGCAGGUCCCAAGGGUAUGGCUGUUCGCCAUUUAAAGUGGUACGCGAGCUGGGUUCAGAACGUCGUGAGACAGUUCGGUCCCUAUCUGCCGUGGGCGUUGGAAACUUGAGGGUGAGCUGUCCUUAGUACGAGAGGACCGGGAUGGACGUAUCUCUGGUGUUCCGGUUGUCACGCCAGUGGCACUGCCGGGUAGCUAUAUACGGACGGGAUAACCGCUGAAAGCAUCUAAGCGGGAAGCCCCCCCCAAGAUUAGGUUUCCCUGGGAACUCGAUUCCCCUAAAGGGCCGUCGCAGACUACGACGUUGAUAGGCCGGGUGUGUACGUGCAGCAAUGCAUUGAGCUAACCGGUACUAAUUGCCCGUGAGGCUUGACCAU
rnacentral:rRNA from 1 species